rnacentral:rRNA from 1 species
AGUGAACGCUGGCGGUAGGCCUAACACAUGCAAGUCGAACGGCAGCACAGUAAGAGCUUGCUCUUACGGGUGGCGAGUGGCGGACGGGUGAGGAAUACAUCGGAAUCUACUUUUUCUUGGGGGAUAACGUAGGGAAACUUACGCUAAUACCGCAUACGACCUACGGGUGAAAGCAGGGGAUCUUCGGACCUUGCGCGAUUGAAUGAGCCGAUGUCGGAUUAGCUAGUUGGCGGGGUAAAGGCCCACCAAGGCGACGAUCCGUAGCUGGUCUGAGAGGAUGAUCAGCCACACUGGCACUGAGACACGGUCCAGACUCCUACGGGAGGCAGCAGUGGGGAAUAUUGGACCAUGGGCGCAAGCCUGAUCCAGCCAUACCGCGUGGGUGAAGAAGGCCUUCGGGUUGUAACGCCCUUUUGUUGGGAAAGAAAAGCAGCAGGUUAAUACCCCGCUGUUCUGACGGUACCCAAAGAAUAAGCACCGGCUAACUUCGUG